AAAAUAAUCUAUUUACGGAGACACAAAAAAUAAUAACUAAACAGUUAGUGAACAAGUGUUUCUACUGACUAGUAAUAGAUUGAGUUACAUUCAACAAAAUUGUUAUUCUUCAUGUCCGGAAAUUAUAUGUGUUUCAAACAUUACUUUUGUGUCCAGCUGUGUUUAAGGAGAAUUUGGCAAUACUUUUGUGGCUCUCUUACUUUAUAUAAGAAAGGAGUAUUCUUUAAUUGUAGGAAAAAUUAAUAUCACACAGUUAACUCACAUUUACAUAGAAC